UACAUCCACAUCUCUUUAUCUUUAGUCUCCCAACUAUAUUACCUGCUCCUCUUGCCCCCCUGAAAGCCAAACUCCACACCAUAGAGCAGGGUUGGCAAAUGUUUUCUUUAAAGGAUCAGAUAGCAAAUACUUGAGGCUUUGCAGGCCACGUGGUCUCUGUUGCAACUACUCAGGUCUGCUGCUGUAGACCGAAAGCAGCCACAGACUUAAGAUUUAAGAUGGGUAAGAUGCUUAAGCAAAUAGGUGUGGCUGUGUUUCAAUAAAACUUUAUUUACAGUAAUAGGUAUGUUUUGUGCUCAUCUCAGCCUAUCGAUAGUGAUGCUAUUGGCUAGAAAUGCCUGGGGCGAGAGAUCGAUCCAUUUAGGGGACCACUUGCCUGAAAGUAGUUUAAGGAGUCUCUCUUCAAGAAGGCCAUGAUCGUGCUCAAUGGGGCCAGCCACCUGGGGGCCGUAAGCCAGAUGGAAGUUCCAGAAAAUAUUCUGUUGGGGAGCCCACUGGUGAGUCUUGAGAAGUAAAUGAGUACCCUGGUCCAUCAGUACCCUGCUCUGUCAAUCCAAAGGGAACAAGAAUAAAUUCAUAAAGUAAGGAGAGAGAGUACCUCUUUUGAAGAGGAAUUCCAGGGGGGUCGCCAAGAGGAGUCCCCAUAUUGAUGAUUGUGACUGACAGCAUACCUGGAAGCUCCCACAGAAGGGCACAGUGGGCCAAGGGAAGCAAUCUGCCAGCAGGAGUGUGGUCGGUCUCCCUGGGAACUCUAUCCCCAUCUGGACAGCCUCUGGUGUUGGGUCUGGGAGCAGAGAAUGCACUGGUCUUUCCCUGCCUUGGCUGCCACAGAGGAGCCUCUCCCUUGAGCACAGGUUGUUGAGGCUUGAAUUUCCCCAAUGAUGGAGGUCGUGUGGGCCCAUUUAUGAGUUGGUGGGCAGGGUUGGGUCCUUGAGGCGCCUGCACUGGGCAUGGUGAGGGAGUCUGCAUUGUGAUUGAAAAAGGCUUCUGGUGUGGAGUGCUGUGAGCAGAAACAGGAGUGGCAAUGACAGGAAUUGAGGACCUCUGCUAAAUCCUUCCAUAUCUUGGCACCCGGAUGCACUAGCCUUGUAUGAGAAAAUUGUCCCCUAGCCACUGGCCAGACCAAACUGCAAGACCAUUAGCAACGGCCGAGGAGUCUGUGGACAUGUGGAUCUGCGAAAGGCCCCUUUUUAUGGCCUCCUUGAGGGCUGAGUGAGCAGCUACAAGUUCAUCAGUCGGGGUGAGCUUGGAGUGCCCUCUUAACCAGAGUUCCCUGAGGCGGGGUGGAAUGCCAGCCCUCCGGCGAGCUGCAUGGCCUACCAUGGUGGUGCUGCCAUCGGUGAAGAACACAGACUCCCUGUCCAUCUCGGACAAGUGGUCCCAAGGGGCUCCCCAAAUAACCAUGGGAGGAGGAAGCAGGGGUGCUGCUCUUACUUCCUCAAGGCUCUCGGGCAAGGGGCUGAGCGUGGGGGAAGCCACAUCCUCCUGUAAUUUGGAAAGGCCUUUGACAUCAGGGUUAGUCCUCUCCUGAAGGUACCACCUCCAUUUUACCAAGGAGGCAUCAGUGGCGUGCCAAGCUUCUGCUGGGAGGCAUCUCUAACCCAGGGCAUUAGAGGAACCUGCGCACAGAGUAUUGCCAGGUGGGGCUGGUUAGGGCAUCAGUUUCUAUAGGACGCCAAAAGCUAGCACUUAAAGGGAGCAUUUCAGGCUGCUGCUGGGGGUAGGCACUUAGUCCAAAACCCCAUAGGAAGCCACCCAAACUCAUGUUUGAUCCAGAGACUCCAGGAGGCAUAGUCGGGUGUGGCCAAGGACUCGACUUGGAGUGUGGAGCCAGGGAGGGACUACAGAAUUACUAACAGCAAAGACUGCCCUUGAAUCUCCUUGGAAGAGACUAUACCAGUUCCUCCUCACUACUCAAAUGGCAGUCAGACUCCAGGCACUUGAGCCUUGAGCCUACAUUUUGCAGCUGACAAAGACUCCACCUGUACAAAUGCUGAAGACCUCUUAUCAAACGACUAGGAUGAGAUGCAGCUGACAUCGAGGUUGACCGCUUCCUCCCAAGACACUGGAUCAAGACUUCAUGCUUUAAACCUGAAAACCUUACCUCUUCCUUUCUUUCCUUUACUCUGACAUUGGCCUGGAAAGAACACCAUCAUCCAUAUCUCCCAGGCCAUUGCUAACGGAGGGUAACACUUCAGACUGCUAGACCUGUAAUCAAAAACUCUAAUCUAUAUGCGAGAGACCCCCUGGUCUGUUUCCCUGUCUCUGGUUAAGAGCUUCAAACUUGGGGAACUUUGUAUCCAGGCUCUAUGCAAAGAAAGGGACACAAGGCAAGGGUAAGCAGAAUAAAACUGCCUGUGUGGUCUACAGACCCUUACAUUACUGCCUCCAAGGCCUGAGCCACAGAUUCAAACAGGAGUUACCAGGAGGCAUUCAGGAUUCAGGAUUCGCUUCCACUAGCAGAACCCUACUGCCCUGGUUAGAAGUAAAUGUAAGUGAGGCUAUGAGGAGAAACCUCUCCUUAACUCUUGAAAGUAUUGCAGAAUCUGCUGCUAAAGCAAUAAGCUGCCUAACAAAAAUUCUUAGACUCUCUGGCCAAAGUUGUUCUUGACAACAGGAUAGCCCUUGAUUAUCUUUUAGCUGAGCAAGGAGGUGUCUGUGCUGUGGCCCGCACCACCAGCGGCACCUGGAUUAACACUCUGGGGAAGUCGAAAGUCAGUUACAUAAAAUCAUUUAAGCCACUCCGCUUAAAAAGGUGACUCCUUCAAAAGGGUGUUUCUGUGAUUUGUUUGAUUUUGAGUGGCUUGGGUCUUGGGGACCAUGACUCCAAAAUGCACUCCAAAUAUUGGGAAUUAUCCUACUUAUAAUAAUCAUAAUAACCUCCCUGGUGCAUUGUAUUCUCUCAAAAACUUUAAACACACGUUUUUAGACGUUAACCACCAAGCAAAUGAUCUCCCUAAGACUGGAACGUCAGAAAGGAACACAGAGAAUGACCAACUUGAAGAAUGUGAGCCUGAGGCCGUGACCUGUGAAUGCCGCACAGAGGAUCAGCAAAAACUGUGAGAACUUGAGAGCAGUAGCCGACACUGGUGUUAAUGCCGUAUAUUUUUAUCACAUCUCUCAAUUAAGCCGAGAGUCUGAUCAAAAAGGAGGGAAUGGUUAAAAAGUAACGUCAGGCACCAAAUGGAGUCACUCGUGCCAAGCUCACGUAACCAAACUUAGACUUAAUACCUAGUCUAAUUGUAGUUUCAACCUUCCCCAGGAGUGUAACCUUAACUGGUCAGUCUGGGAUUUCCUGGUCAGCACUAGUGUGAUAAUCUGCCUAAUAGAUGCCUUUUGUCCCCCACAGGAAGAUGACCUUGCUGGAAAUAAUCCUUCUUUUUGUUUAUGACUUCCUUGUCCCACCCCUUCCCUGCCUUUAAAAAUCUUUCUUUUUCUGUAGCUCUGUGGACCCCCUUUCUCCUUGCUAGGGGGGGUUGCUGCUCGACUCAUGGAUCAUUGAAUAAAGCCAAUUUCAUCUUCAAAUUUACUCAGCUGAAUUUUGUUUUUUUAACAGUUCUCUUUCACGACUCCCCAACUCUGUCACUGUCGCAUAGACCUUGCGGCUGUAGACAAUAUGUAAACAAAUAUGGCUGUUUUAAUUAAACUUUAUUUAUGAACACUAGAAUGUAUUUCACAUCAUUGUCAU
rnacentral:lncRNA from 1 species